AGGCGGCCUUCUGGACUGACACUGACACUGAGGUGCGAAAGCGUGGGUAGCAAACAGGAUUAGAUACCCUGGUAGUCCACGCCGUAAACGAUGUCGACCAGCCGUUGGGUGCCUAGCGCACUUUGUGGCGAAGUUAACGCGAUAAGUCGACCGCCUGGGGAGUACGGCCGCAAGGUUAAAACUCAAAUGAAUUGACGGGGGCCCGCACAAGCGGUGGAGCAUGUGGUUUAAUUCGAUGCAACGCGAAGAACCUUACCUACUCUUGACAUCCUGCGAAUUCGGUAGAGAUACCUUAGUGCCUUCGGGAACGCAGAGACAGGUGCUGCAUGGCUGUCGUCAGCUCGUGUUGUGAAAUGUUGGGUUAAGUCCCGUAACGAGCGCAACCCUUGUCCUUAUUUGCCAGCGCGUAAUGGCGGGAACUCUAAGGAGACUGCCGGUGACAAACCGGAGGAAGGUGGGGACGACGUCAAGUCAUCAUGGCCCUUACGAGUAGGGCUACACACGUGCUACAAUGGUCGGUACAAAGGGUUGCCAACUCGCGAGAGUGAGCCAAUCCCGAAAAGCCGAUCUCAGUCCGGAUCGGAGUCUGCAACUCGACUCCGUGAAGUCGGAAUCGCUAGUAAUCGUAGAUCAGAAUGCUACGGUGAAUACGUUCCCGGGCCUUGUACACACCGCCCGUCACACCAUGGGAGUGGACUGCACCAGAAGUGGUUAGCCUAACGCAAGAGGGCGAUCACCACGGUGUGGUUCAUGACUGGGGUGAAGUCG
rnacentral:rRNA from 1 species